CAAGAAUUAGUUUAAUAAAAAUUUUAAUUUUGGAGAUUAAAGAUAAAUCAGAUAUUUAUUCUUGA
rnacentral:tRNA from 1 species